CUUUGUGAUAUAUUUUUCUAUAUAGCAAAUGGUCUCCUUUGUUUCAAUUAUUUUCUUCUGCUCUGUGACAGGAUGUGUCUAGUCUUUCUUCUAUUUAAUUUGUGUUUUUCUCAAUGUUAUUUGCUCUAUGUAUUGCUUCUGAAGGUGAUUUUAUUGGGCAUGCUUGGUUGACUUUCUGGCAGCUAUUCCACUACCCCCCAUUAUGUAGUAGCCAUAAGGUUUGUAUAUUUGAUUGAUUCUUCUUUUAGUUCCAGGGAUGGAAUCCGAGUGAUCGCUAAGGCAAUUCAUAUAUUUUACCCACCUUAGGAUAACUGGUUUAGGAUUGGACAAACAAUCUCAGCUGCUUCAAUCAGACUCACUGUAAGUAGUGAAAUGGAAAACUCUUUCCUCUUCCGGGCACUGUUAAAGAUUUUUUUUUUUCAUGUAAACUAUGCAACUACUUCAGUUAUUUUACUUGGAGAAAACUUAAGCUGAGAACAAAUUCUACUUGACAAGGUGAGAAAUACUGAGAGAGAAAUUGGGAAACCAAACAGAAGCCCUGAUCAAGCCUUCCUUGAAGUACAACUUAACUGAAAUUUCCAGUCAAAGUAUUUUCUUCAUAAGGUCAAUUACUUUGAAUUAGAUUUUAUUCAUUUAAAACUUGCAACGUUUUAACCUAUUCACUUUUCUGUGCUGUCUCUACCAUUUAUUUCCACUGACUUCUUGUCUUUAUAUGUUAUAAUUAUAAUAUAUUCUUUUAUCUAAGUAAAAACAGAUGAUAGUCAUUUCCUAAAUCUAAACAUUUCCUAUGAAAAAUCUUUGGGAUAAAAUUGCACAUUUCCUUUCACUCUUUUAUAGCAUUUUCAUAAUUGUGUAAUAUUUCAACCAUUUUCUUUUUAUUCAUAUUUACAAAAGGUUAACAAGAGGUUUUUAUCAUGCUUGCUCAUGGCAAGGGGCCUCUACUCGGCCCACUGCACUCAACCCUUUGCAAAAGGGAGCACGUGAGCAAGUGAGUAUGGGAUCUGGCCAGCCGUUCCAGGUACUGACACAGUAUCAUGCUCUGUGCAGGGCCCGUGGCCAGACCAGGAGUGUCACCCUGAGGGGAACAUGGUGGCUCCCAAGUGAGGAUGCCCAUGACCCCAAAGCCCCAGAGCGGGUGUUACAGUUCUCUAUUAGUUCCACUGUUCGUGGAUAGUGGUGUGUUGGCAGCUCAGUUGGCCCCUUGCCUUGUCACAUGGGGUGACUGAUCUCUGCUGGCAAAAGCAAAGGGCUGGUGUGACAGUGUUUCUCAGUACCUGUGCUAUGUGGGUUCUGAGCUAUUGUCUGGCAUCCAAGAAGAAUGAGGUCACAUGGACGGUUGAAGGAUGGUGAAGGUGGAGAAUUUUACUGAACAAUUAAAAUGGCUCUCAGUGGAGAGGGUUGCUGGAGAGGAGACUGGAAGGGCAGGUAGUCUUCCCCAUAGUUAAGUUGUCUCUUCCCUGAAGUAGGGUUGUUUCCCCAUCUACUGACUGAGUCUGGGGUCUUUAUAGGCACAGUCUGGGGAGUGCAUGCUGAUUGGUUUGUGAGUAUGCAAAAUAGGUUAAAGCAAACACACCACUCAAAGGUGGGCAUAACAGUGUAGAAAACCAAUUAGGAAAGAGUAGGUAUAUGUAAAAUAGGUAAAGGGUGGGAAUCAAUCAGAGAAAAGCACGCCAAAUGGGAGAACAAGUUCUAAAUCUGGUCUGAGGAUUAAACUUGUAGCUUGGCUUUCAGGCUUUGGCUUGGAGGUGGGCUGUUGCUGUGUACUCGCCCCUAUCUGCCUAGGCACUUGGCUGCCUCCUGUCACUGUCAAUGGGUUACAAUUAUGCCAUUUUCCACUUGAUUCUUGGACUACUUUUGAAAUUGUAUGUUUUCAUAUCUUUGGGGUUUGUUGCCUUUUAUUUGCUUUGAAGGAUAAAAAUAUUUUAAGACUUUUCUAUUUAUUAUUUGUAUCCCUUAAUUAUAGAAAGUCUCUGUUGAUAUUGAUUCUUUGUCUUUCAAGUGUUGUAAAUUUUUUCUUCACUUAUGUUUUCAACUGAAAUUGUAUUAGUUAACUUUUUUUGCAUAUUGUAAUGUUUUUCUUAAAUUUGUAACUUUAUAACAUAUUUUACUUUGUCGACUAGAAUUUAUAGCUAGAGUUUAUUUGUCAUAACUGGGUACUUCUUUUUGUAUUAAAUAAGGCUUUUAUUCUAAAGCCACUUCAAAUACAAAGGAAUAAAACUAUUCUUAUUGAAAUAAUUUAUAAAUGUUAUAUUCACUGAGAAGUCAAAUGCAAUAAUGAUUGUGAAUUCAAUGCCACAUGUGAUGUUUUACUUGUGUUCUCUACAAAAAGCUCAGUUUUUUUAUACAUGUAAAUAUGGAUUAUUCAAGUGCUAUAAAAGUCACUUGCUUUUGUGUACUCUCGAGUCAUUAAAGUUUUUAAGAGUAUUUAAAAUCCUUUACCUUCUUCACUUUAGAUGAUUAUAAAAUUUAAACUUUUAGAAGUAAGGUUUGGUUAGGCAACCCAAAAAUUUCAAUGGCUUCACAAGACAAAUGGUUAUUUUUUGCUAGAGCAGUAGUCGAACAGACAUCUGAUUAUUGGCAUUAGACAGCUCUCCUGGGCAUCUUUUCUCCCAGUGGCAAUUUAGGGUUUGAGCCUCUUUGAUCCUUUGGCUGACUUGUUCUUUGUCUGUGUAGUCCUUUCAUUCAGAUGGAAGAUGGGAAAACACAAUGCUAUAGACUUUGGAAUAUUGUAUGGGCUCGUAAUCAGCGUACUGAAUUUCAAGCCAUUCCUUGGCCACUCAAUGGCCACUACUAAAUCACACAACCCACCCAACUGGAGAAUUAAAUCAAAUAUCUGGAGCAAUUUAAUGUGCAUGCAUUCGUGGCCACAAAAAUGAAGAUACAAAUAAGUGCUGGAUAUUAGACCUUCGUCAGACACAUAGACCAGUGGAACAGAAUAGAGAACCCAGAAAUUAGAUCACUCAUCUUCAACCAUCCAAUCUUCGACAAACCUGACAAAAAGCAAUGGGGAAAGGACUCCCUGUUCAAUAAAUGGUGCUGGGAGAAAUGGCUGGCCAUAUUGUGUCUAGAAUUUAUUCCUUCCAGUGGGUUCUUGGUCUCGCUGGCUUCAAGAAUGGAGCCGCAGACCUUUGCAGUGAGUGUUACAGCUCAUAAAGGUGUUGCAGACCCAAAGAGUGAGCAGCAGCAAGAUUUACUGUGAAGAGCGAAAGAACAAAGCUUCCACAGCAUGGAAGGGCACUUUCCGCUGCUGGCUCAGGUGGCCAGCUUUUAUUCCCUUAUUUGGCCCCACCCACAUCCUGCUGACUGGUCCAUUUUACAGAGCCCUGAUUGGUCCAUUUUACAGAGUGCUGAUUGGUGUGUUUACAAUCCUUUAUCUAGACACUGAGCACUGAUUGGUGCGUUUUUACAGAGGGCUGAUCAGUGCGUUUAUUUUCCUUUAGCUAGACACAGAGCGCUGAUUGGUGCGUUUUUACAGAGUGCUGAUUGGUGCAUUGACAAUCCUUUAGCUAGACACAGAGUGCUGAUUGGUGCAUUUUUACAGAGUGCUGAUUGGUGCAUUUACAAUCCUUGAGCUAGACACAGAGCGCUGAUUGCGUUUACAAUCCUCUAGCUAGAUAGAAAAGUUCUCCAAGUCCCCACUUGACCCAGGAAGUCCAGCUGGCUUCACUUCUCAAUAUGUAGAAAAUUGAAACUGGACCCCUUCCUUACACCACAUACAAAUAUUAAAUCAAAAGAGAUUAAAAACCUAAAUGUAAAACUCAAAACUAAGAAAACCUUGAAAGACAGCUGAGGCAAUACCAUUCGGGACAUAGGCCAUGAGCAAAGAUUUCAUGAGAAAAAUGCCAAAGGCAACUGCAAGAAAACAAAAAAUUGACAAAUGGGACCUAACUAAACUGAAGAACUCUGCACAGCAAAAGAAACUGUCUGCAGAGUAAACAGACCACCUACAGAAUGGGAGAAAAUGUUUGCACUGAUUUACUUUCACAAAGUCAGUUUGUGAAAGAAAAAGAGAACAAGUGGAAUUUGAAAGGCAAUGGCUAAUUUCUUAUGCAUCAGUGAAGACAUUGGAAUCCAAUAGAGUUGAGUGCAAAGCCCACCCUGCCCCAAUUCUGUGCCUAUAAAGACCUCAGGCUCAGCCAGCAGAGAGGAAAAGUGGCUGGAUGUUGAGAGAGGCAGUUUGACUCCAGAGAUGGCAGCUGGAUGUCGGAAAGCAGCAACUUGACUUCACAAGAGAGAGGCAGAGGUGACUUAAUAUCAGAGGAGAGCAACCUGCCCUUCCCAUCCCCUUUCCAUCUCCCCUCUUGCUGAGAGCCGCUCUCGUCACGCAAUAAAAUUCACCACAUUCACCAUCCUUCAAUUUAUAUUUGCGACCUCAUUCCUCUUGGGCACCGGACAAGAAUUUGGGAUGCACCAAGUGUGGACACCCACAAAGGCUGUCACAGUGGCCCUUUGCCAUUGCCAGCAGAGGGCAGCUGCCCCAUGCAAUAAGCCAAAGGGCUGGCUGAGCUGAUAACACACUGCUUUCUGUGGACGGCGGCGGAGCUAAAAGAGUAUUGUAACAUGCCCUCUGGGGCCUUGGGGAACCCCACCUGGAUCCUGCCAAGAGGCCUGCAUGAAGUUUGCUCCUGCCAGCACUAAAGCAGCCAGUUUUUUCCUGCACUCACUCACCUGCACACUUCCUCCUGCGAUGGGUGGGACACAGUCAACCUGAGUGAGCAGAGUUUGCUCAUGCAGGCACCUAAAUUGCUGGCAAGUUCCUGAGCUCAUUCGCUUCAAUUCCCGUACUCAUUUGCAUGGGUGCUCCCUCCCACAAGGGGUUGAACAGGACAGGUUGAGUAAAUGGUGCACCCCUCUUUUGAGUCCCACCAAGGGUCAAGAAAAUAUCCUGCAUCACUUUGUCAACUUAUGCCACUUAAAGGACAUGCUGCCUACUUUAGACUUAUUUACAAGUUUGCAUAAUUUUUAGACAUAGACAACGCCGUUUAUCUCUGCAAUUACUAUCAAUUCUAACCUAGGAAGCACCAAGUUAAUGGCAAUAAAAAAAAAAAGAAUAAACAACUGUUUCCAGCAACAAGGUGACUGUACCAGUAAUUAAUUUAUUGCCUUCCAGAGGCAAAUUCACUAUUGCCUGUUCUGAGAAAAAGAAUCUGGGCCCUUCAAAUAGCUGCCAGAAUGUAAAAACUUGCCAGCAGAUGGUGGUGGAGAGAUGCUGGAGGUGGAAGGGAUUUCAUCCCAGGUCUGGUAUGCUCCCUCAUCAGGCUCUCACAGUGGAACACACCUUCUCCAACACCUGGCUCCUGUUCAGCAGCACCCAGAGACCAUCAGCUUCCUUUUGCACUCCUUUCAGAUAAUUUAGCAGUUGAGUCUCUCUGGAAAAAUCAAUAGCUUUCCAUGACACCCCAGAGGAUGAAUCUCCUGCCUGCCCAAAAGGCAUAUUUUCAGCAAUUUCUUCCAGUACAGCCCCACUGCAACUACUCUGCCACCCAGUGAGAGCCACAUUCUCUUUUCUUUUUUUUCUUUUUUUUAAUUUUUGAUUUCCAACUUUUAAGCUCAAGGGAACAUGUUCAGGAUAUAGAGUGUGCAGUUUGGUACAUAGGUAAACAUGUGCCUUGUGGUUUGCUGCACAGAUCAUCCCAUCACCUAGGUAUUAAGCCCAGCAUCCAUUAGCUGUUCUUCCUGAUGCUCUCCCUCCUCCCAUGCCCCACCCUCCAACAGGCCCUAGUCUGUGUUGUUCUCUCCCCGGCAAUUCCUCAAAGACUUAGAGGCAGAAAUACCAUUUGACCCAGCAAUCCCAUUAUUGGGUAUAUACCCAAAGGAAUAUAAAUCAUUCAAUCAGGAACAUAUACGCAUGUGUACGUUCACUGCAGCACUAUUCACAAUAGCAAAGACAUGGAAUCAACCUAAAUGUCCAUCAAUGAUAGACUGGAUAAAGAAAAUAUGGUACAUACACACCAUGGAAUACUAUGCAGUCACAAAAAGGAAUGAGAUCAUGUCUUUUGUAGGGACAUGGAUGGGGCUGGAAGUCAUUAUCCUCAGAAAACUAAUGCAGGAACAGAAAAACCAAACAGUGCAUGUUCUCACUUAUAUGUGGGAGCUGAGUGUUGAGAACACAUGGACACAUGGUAGUGAGCCACAUUCUUACCCUUUCCAAUAAGGCUUGAAUCUCAUCUUGGUAGGGAGGGAGCAGUCUUACUGGAUGCUGUAUUUCAGCACCAGGGAUUGGAGAACACUCCCUCACUUUUGCAUCAGCUAAUCCUGUACUCUAUAAAAUUCUUUUCAUUUAUUACAAUCCUAUUCCUCCAUACACAAAUCUCCUGUUAAAAUUAAUAACUUUUAUAUCAAACUUCCUCUGUUCACAUUACUGUGUUGGUUUCUCCCUCCUGAUUGGAUCACAACUGAUACAAUUGGGUUAAAUACUUUUUCAUAAAAUAAAUUAUUAAAUCCAUUCCUUUAGUGUGUAAGUAUUUAGAGUUUACAAAUUACUGAGAUUUAAUUCUACAAAUUAUACAUAUUUACAAUCUAGGUGAAGGCACUCAAGAGAUAUUUAAACAUUUCCCCUCUAAGACAUCAGUUUAAAGAAAGACAGAAAGAAAGAAAGAAAGAAAGAAAGAAAGAAAGAAAGAAAGAAAGAAAGAAAGAAAGAAAGAAAACCCUUUGCUAGCACAAAACAGUCCCCAAAACCUUACUGUUGGGGUUGAGAAACUGAUACCUCCUAUGGCACUUUGGAAUGCUGAGUACUUUGAAUCAAAGGAGUUGAAAGACCAUAGAAGCAACUUCAGAACCAAUGUCACUCUGACCUCCUGCUCUUCUGUCUCUUACCCUCUUUCUCCUGCAAUAGUGCAAGGAGGGGCUCUCCCUGAACUUUCCUUAUCUGUCUAAAGAUUGGCCCUCUAGAAAGAAUACACUUGUCAUGAGUGUUUUUCCUGGGAAUCUCAUCAGCCAGGGAAAAGUAAAAGUAUCACAGGGGAGGAAACUGAAAGUUGACAACAUGCCCAGGCAGAUUUUAUCACAGACUAUCGCCUCUUUUUCUGAGACUGUUUAUUACCUGAAAGACCUUUUGUUUGCAUAACAAGACAACCUUUGUUCACCCUGCAUUUUCUCCCCUCACUCUCCCAUAACUUGUGUCACCACCAACCCUAGAAUCCCCAGGCCUGUAUUCCUUUCUUCAGCUCAAGAUGUUAUAUAUGUUUCAAUCAUCUGCCCCCUUUUCAAGUCUCAUAUUUUGUGGGACUCCUAUGUGUAUGCAAAUAAUUAAAAUGUUUUUUUCUCCUGUUAGUAAUUAUCAAACCUUCAGAGGAUAAAGAAAGUUUCCUUUCUCUAUAUUAAUAAUCUCUAGUCCCAACAUUCCAUUCCUCAUUCCCCAGCAUUCACACACACAUUUCCAUGCUGCUUUUCAACAAAAAGUUUUAUUUCCUGCAGUGUAGCAAAAUAACAUGAUUCUAAGUUCUCUUUUAUAAAAUCUGUUAGCUAUUAUAAUUCCUUCACUCACUUUCCCCUUUGUAAUAAAUUUUUCCCCAUCCAUUAAAAUAAUAUGGGCUUAGUAGAAUGCUUAAAAAAUAAAGAUCCACAUGAAAAAUUUAAAGUCAUGUAUAAACAUAUAAUUUAGUGAUAAUUAGUGUUAACAUUUUGGCUCAUUUUCUCUUUGCCUUUGUAAAAUUACAUUAGUCUUGGAUUUGUUUCUUUUCCUACCCCUAUCACAAAAGAUGCUCCUCUUCAUCCAUGGUUACUAUUUUAGUGUGCCCUAAAGGAUAUCACAGCUGAUAUGUCAGGCUACAGUUGUAACUUCCCUAAAAUUAUGACCUUCUUCUAUCGUUGAUGUUGUCACCACGUGGUAAUGAAAUCUUAGGAUAUUAUAAAUAGUUUGGUAUUUGAUUCUCAUAUUUAAUAAUGAAUCUAGAGAUUUCAGGGAAGAAAUAAAGUUGAUAUUGUUUGGAUAUUUGUUCCCUUUAAAUGUCAUCUUGAAAUUUGAUCCUCAGUGUUGGAGGUGGAGCUUAGUGAAAGGCAUCUAGGUCAUGCAGCACUCCUAGCACCUCCAAGGUCUGCUUUUUCAAAAGAGUCUGGAGCCUCCCUUUAUUCACUUUUUCCUUCUCUCUCACCGUGUGUUGGUUUCUCUCCUUUCCCUUCUGCCAUGAGUGAAAACUUUCUGAAGCCCUCAUCAGAAGCAGAUGCUGGUACCAUGCUUGCACAGCCUGCACGAGUGUAAGCCAAAUAAACCUCUUUUCUUUAUAAAUUCCUCAGCCUCAUAGUAUUCCUUUACAGCUAUGCAAAUGGACUAAGACAAGAGUUGAUCCCCUUCAACCACACAGAAAAAGACUUCCACUUUGUUGAAUUUGCUUCAUUUACAAACAAAACUCUAAUAAUAAUAGUAUACAGAGAAUUAAAGAAUACAAUUGAUCAUAUGCACUGACUUAGAAAAGGAAUGCACAUGGGAUGGCAAAAUAGAGAAGGCUUCUUGUGAGUGUGUGGGGGAGGCAGGAUAGGGUUAUCUGGGUCUUUAAAAAAACACUUGACUUAAGCAGAGAGGGCUAUGAGAGGGCUUAAUAAAAGUACAGAGGUAGAAAUACAGAAGAGGUAUAAAAAUAACAAAUAGUCUUAUGUGAUUACAACUUGACAUAUGUAAUUUAGCGGAAGCAUUUUCUACUUCUGAAACAAAUUAUGAUUAACACUUCCUGUAAUAGGUUUAUAAUUAUGUAAACCUAUUUAAAUCAAUCAUUUGCACAACAAAAUGAAUGAAUUAAUUUGUUGCAGCUGUGUUUACUGAGGCACACAUGUAAAGCAAUUUUAAAUGCUGUCAAGUAACAAUGAUUUCGUUUCAUGACUCACACUAAGUGAGAAAUUCUGAUUUUUUUAAGACAAAGUUUAAAAAAUCAAAAACUUAAAACUCCUGGAACUAAAAGCAUAGAAGAAAAGCUUCAUGACAUAGGACAUGACAAUGUGUUCUCACAUAUGACACCAAAGCACAGGGAAAGAAAGCAAAAGUAGAAAAGGGACUAUAUCAAACUCAAAAACUUUUGUGCAUUGAAGGACACACCUAACAGCCUGAAAAGGCAACCUAUGGAGUAGGAGAAAAUAUUUGCAAAUCAUAUAUAUCUAUACAUAUAUAUGGAUAUGAUAGUAAAUUGUUAUACAGAAAAUAUAAAAAGAACUUCUAUAACUCAAUAACAAAAAUCAAAUAACUUAUUUUUUUAAAUGGGCUAAGGACUUGAAUAGAUAUUUCUCCAAAAGUAAUACGCAAAUGGACCACAGUCAUAUAAAACAAAUAUUUGACAUCAUAAAUAAUUAGGGAAAUGCAAGUUAAAAUCACAAGAUAUCAUCUUACAUUCACUAGUAUGACUGCUAUCAAAAAAAUGAAACAAAACAGAAAAUAACAAAUGUUAGUGAGAAUGUGGAGAAAUUGGAACCCUAGUACACUGUUGGCGGGAUUGUGCAACCACUAUGCAAAAAUUAUAAAAAAUUAAAAAUAGAACUACCAUAUUACCCAACAAUUCCACAUCUGGGAUUUUAACCAAUACUUUUAACCAAAAGUAUUGAAAGAAGAGUCUCAAAGAGAUAUUUGAACACUCAUGUUUAUAGAAGCACUAUUUAAAACACCAACAAGUAGAAGCAGCCCAAAUAUCCAUUGACAAGUGAAUGGAUGAAGGAAAUGUAGUAUAUACACAUACAAUGGAAUAUUAUUCACCCCUAAAAAGGAAAUCUUGUCACAUACUACAGCAGGGAUAAGCCUGAAUGAUAUGCUAAAUAAAUAAGCCAGUCACAAUAAGACAAAUACUGUAUGAUUCAACUUCUAUAAAAUGGUGAUUACUAGGGACUGAGGUGAAAAAGUUCUAGAUAUAUGUAUUACAACAAGUUGAAUAUACUUAAAACUACUGAAUUGCACUCUUAAAAUGAUUAAAAUGAAGAAAAUACAUGUUUUUAACUACAAUUUAAUUUUUUUUAAAUCACAAAUUUAGUGAUAGGUAUGUGGCUUUAUAGAUGUUUUAAUCCAAACUUCACAUUUUAACAAUAAAAGUACUAGGACCUUAGAAGAUGGGUGACUGGUUUCAGAUUAUCCAGUCAAGAUGAAAAUUUAUGCCUUCCAAAUUACCACAUCUUAGGUGUCUUCAUCUGCUAGCUUAAUCCCAGGUUGUUCCUGGACUAUCUCUACAUCAAGCAGUGAAAGCUUAACUCCCUUCAUGUUUUACGAUGGAUAAAUAUGUGAGGUGAAAAUCAAGAGGCUAGCAUUGACCCAAUGUACAUCAUCUAUCAAGGAGACAAUGUUCGUUUGUUCUUUGAUGAAUCUCUAAGACAACAUUGUCAUGAUUUUGUUUUCAUCACACAUUUGCAUUAGGU
rnacentral:lncRNA from 10 species